GAGGUGUCUCUUUUCCUAUUUGGAUUUCCUAACACAGCCGUGGCCCCUUGGCGGCGGUUGCACUCUGGCCUCGGGUGCCGGGGAGCCCCUCUCGGUGAAGCCCCGCAGGUCAGGAGCAGCCCAGGCCCUCGGCCUCACCACCUGCUGGGGGGGGGGGGGAGGCCUUGUCGCCGACCUCCCACCCUGCCUGACUCACAGGUCACACUCUCCCACAGGGGCAGGUGCGCCUCGGGCCCCCCGGCGGGUCUGGGCGCCCGGGCCCCGCACACCUCUGGGGGCUCCCGUCCGGGGAACAGCGACCGUCGUGGGAUCCUGUCUGGGAAGAAGUUGGGAGGAAGGUCCCCACGGAUUCGUGUCUGGUUCUCGUCCUGGAGGCUUCGGGGCACUUCCCAGCCCGGGUUCUCUUAUCCUGGGUUUGGGCCUAAAAGGACACAGGGGACAAGGGACAAUGAGAGAGACCUCGGAGAGGGACAAGCGUUUGGUCUUCUUCUCCCUAGAUCUUUGCAGUGCUUGUCUCCUUCUUACCUUCUGACUUGUACACAGUUGCUCUUUGGGCCCUCCCAGCACCCUCCCCCUCCCAGCACCCUCUCCCUCCAGCACCCUCCCCCUCCAGCACCCUCUCCUCCCAGCACCCUCCCCCACCCAGCACCCUCCCCUUCCAGCACCCUCCCCCUCCAGCACCCUCUCCCUUCAGCACCCUCUCCCUCCCCGCAUCCUCCCCCUUCAGCACCCUCCCCCUCCCAGCACCCUCCCCCUCCAGCACCCUCUCCCUCCAGCACCCUCUCCCUCCCCACAUCCUCUCCCUCCCCGCAUCCUCUCCCUCCCAGAACCCUCCCCCUCCAGCACCCUCUCCCUCCCAGCACCCUCUCCCUCCAGCACCCUCCACCUCCAGCACCCUCCCCUUCCCAGCACCCUCUCCCUCCCAGCACCCUCUCCCUCCAGCACCCUCCCCCUCCCAGCACCCUCUCCCUCCCAGCACCCUCUCCCUCCAGCACCUUCUCCCACCAGCACCCUCCCCCUCCAGCACCCUCUCCUUCCCAGCACCCUCCUCCUCCCAGCACCCUCUACCUCCUUUCAUGGUGGGAACACAAAGAGUCCGGUGUGUACAAGCCACCCACCAGGAAGCACAGUGUGGCCCAGGCCCGGCCCCACUCGGGGCCCUGCUCGGUGGGGUCUCCCAGGGGUCUGAGGAGAACUGGGUGCUGGACACGGACAUGUUCACGAAGGGUCCUCCAGGCCGGCCAGAGGGAAGGGGUGCAGCCCACAACCAGCCUCCAGCUCAGCAGCUUGGGCCCCAACCCAGCUGCAGAAGCCACCUGGCCAGUCCCACUCUCCCAGGGCAGCAGCACGCGGCUGUCUAGACGUUUCCACGGCCCCUGGCAGCUUGGCCGAAGCUCUGUCGGGCCUGCAUCCCUGCAUCGCAGAUCAUCUUCCUCCUGGGGCCAAUCCAGGCUCUUCCUCCUUCCCUUAGUGGGUAUUAAUCCUUAA
rnacentral:lncRNA from 1 species